UGAGUCUUAAGAAUUAUGUUUUUUUUUUUGUCUUUUCUUUUUUAUACAUUAUGAAUUGUUAUUGUUUUCUACAACAUCCAGCAAU
rnacentral:sRNA from 1 species